UAACCUUUUCAGAAAGGCGCAAGCGCACUGCAGGUCAUGUGACAAGAACCGACCAGCCGAUAUAGACAAGAUCAGUGAAGGAGGAGACAGAUGAUCACAACAGUACCACAGUAAUCGUGAGGUGUUUUCACUGUAUAUAAUCCAUAUGUCAUUUUUUAUACCUCCUCCAUCCAUGGUUGCUAAGCGACGACAGACGCAUAACGCACUUUAAGUUUUUGAUGAUUUCACUUUUAUUAAGUAGAUUUAAGUACUGUAUUGACUAGUUCUGACUAAAUUGGGAUCAUCACGGGGCAUCGGUAAGAAUGCAGAAGUCCAAAGUCCAAUCACAAUUUUAAUGUAAGGGUGUGGUUUUCUAUAAUAAACAGAAAUUCGAAUAAUCAGUUUACAGCAAUAAAUGAUAAACAUUUAAAUCAAAAAGAAUAAACACGUGGAGACACAUAGCUAUAAAUGUAAACAAUUGACUAUGAAUGUACACGUGACGAUCGUCUAUAACAAUAUCUCAACGAGUGUAAUCUUCACCAUCCACAUAAAUAUGUCUUAAUGACAUCUGUAAAGUACGGAAGUUCUAAGAGGCCAAUGCGUUAUAAUAUUUUUUCUCGUGAUCACGAUUUAAUUUUCUUGUGAUCUCGACAUAACAAACGUUGUUUUCUCCUUAUUACGAGUUACCCAGUAAACAAUUAGCGUCUUUCAACGUUGAAAUAUGGUUGAAAAUAAGUCGGUCCGCCUUGGACUGGUUUACGACGUGAUUUCAACUAAGUAGUUUAGGCUGGACUGUUUGACUACGUGUUUUCAACUGAUCAUGUUUUCAAUUGAUAAUCUAAACACAGCAAGAUAAUCUGUUAUACAUGCUAAAACAAUGGAGAAAACAAAUUACCAAACCAUGUUCAUUAUUAUCUUAAAUAAAUGUAAAGAGUUUUACAUAUUCCGUCAAAGUUAUAAAAACAUUGAAACUUGAGGCGCAAUGAGGAUUCAUACAUUGCAAUAAUUACCCCACCCCACCAGGUGGCGGAAAUGCAACAUUAAAGAUGGUUGCCAAUCGCCAUAAAACCGAAAGAAGAAGCGAAGAGGCGCGUGAUUGUUGCGGGAAAAAAGCCCAACCAACCGCCAGAUUCCAGAAAGCUCUUCACGACGGGAAAGCAGCUGUGUCAAAAUACCAGAAGUCAGUGCUUGGAAAGCUAGUUGAACUUCUUGAUGAGAUAUAAAGAGUCGGAAGGCACUAUGAGCCGCUGAAUUCUGCUGUCCAUGUUGCUAGGCUAGAAACCUUUGAAGAUUUUGCUGAAGAAGAGGCACGUCUCAAGGAACGCAAGCUCUGGGAACAAAGGGUGUCCCAGCUCUCAAAGGUGGGAGGGAGGAAUAACAAAGACUGCGUCCAUAAAGUAAUGGACAGGCUUUUCACCAACAGCCUAAUGGCUGCUUUCAACAUGAUGGGGCGGGGUCCCAGUGAGAAAAAAGCCUUCCAGGAUACCGUUCUUUACUCUGUGGUAAAAGGUUACCGCAGGAUGCAGUUCAUGCCCAGACCUGAUGGCAGAGCUGAGAAUGGGAAGCGGUGACCUGACAAGUGCUAAGAGGAUAGAGCUGGAUAAAGGACGCGACAACUUUGUUUUUUUCUACAACAUUUCAAAUGCUAUUAGAUUGUUAAUGAUAAUCUUUAAUUUUUAUAUUUUUAUUAAGCCUUGUUGUGCAAGCACUGAUGAGCUUGUGCAGAGGCAGCAGCUUUUGCCAGAGGGGAACUGGAAUCCCCUGGUUGGGCCUGGGUUCCCCUGAGGUUUUUUUUCUCGAUGGGAGUUUUGGGUUCCUCACCACCGUUUGCAUAUUGUUUUGCACUAUCUGCCUGGCCGGGGGGGCUGCUUUAGAAUUCAUACUUGUAUUAAAUGUGUCUCAUGUACAGCUGCUUUGUAACAAUGAAAAUUGUAAAAAGCGCUAUAUAAAUAAAGUUGAGUUGAGUUGAGUUAUAUAAUAUAUUAGUUUCACCUGUUAAGUUGAAUUCCUGAAAUUAACUUUUUCAUGACAUUCUAAUUUGAGAAGCACCUGUAUAUAUCUAAUUUAGCUUACCAAUUGUAUUUCUUUUGGGAGGGUAUGCAAAUCCAUGCAAUUGUUAAUUGAUAAAAUGUAAAUACAAUGUGUAGUAGGGGCCUUAAUGAUGCAAGACGUGGUUUAUUCAUGCACCCUCUAAUAUAUUUUCUUUUGCAGCCAAAGUAAUGAAGUGGAGUAAAACCGCCACAGAAGUGGAAAUCAGGGCUGCCAUGGCUAAGACACUUUAACAUGCUCCAGGGAGAGCUGGAGGUGGAGGUCGCAAAGUGUGAACAUUUAUUGUACAUUUUCUUUUUUUAGAGUUGUGAUUUGUUGACUCUUGGAAAGUGAACUGUGUUGGUUACUGGACCGACCUAUG